UAGGUUUCUUAUUACUUUGGAGUAUCCAAGAUGCUUGUAGAAGAAAGAAGAGAUCAGCUGUCGAAGUUGUUCGUAGACUAGCAUCUCUGAGCCCCUGAUCUGCGCCAGUCUUCAUUUAGAUUUUUCUAUAGAGGCCAGACGACUUUGUGUGGCUAUGAGUGACCUGAGGAACACCCUCUCUAACUGUUGGAUCAGAGGAGAUCAAGAUCAAAAUUUAUUUGAUAAUGAUCUCUAAUUUAUUUUGAUUCUUAUGGUAGAUCUAAUAGUUGGAUCUAGAAUUUCAGCAUCGAUGAGAU
rnacentral:lncRNA from 1 species